GCAAUAUGGUCUUCCUUCAGAGAGACACAGUAUGUGACUAAAUAUCUCCAAGUUUGUGGCCUGCUGCACUGGCAUUUUCACUGAAGACUUAUUACUUCUGCAGACAUCUUCAAGGGAGUGAAUUUAAGGAAGAUGCAUCCCUGCAUAAGGAUUCAGCUGCAUGAAGAAAUCUGUGAGAUAUGGCAGAAGCUGUGGUCAGAUGGCAAGUUCUCCUGCCAGUCUGCAGCCCCCAAGCUUCCAGUAAGGGCUAUCCUAUCUCACAGCAACUUUAAGAGUGAUGAUGAAGACGCCAAGGUGGAUAUAGUGCCACAGAAAUGAGCCACAAGGAGGUUAAAAACAAAACAAAAGUCAAAACCAAAACAGCUCUCUCUAGAGAACUGGAAAAGAAAGAGACACAAAACUGA
rnacentral:lncRNA from 1 species